UAGGGAAUCUUCCGCAAUGGGCGAAAGCCUGACGGAGCAACGCCGCGUGAGUGAUGAAGGUCUUCGGAUCGUAAAACUCUGUUAUUAGGGAAGAACAAAUGUGUAAGUAACUAUGCACGUCUUGACGGUACCUAAUCAGAAAGCCACGGCUAACUACGUGCCAGCAGCCGCGGUAAUACGUAGGUGGCAAGCGUUAUCCGGAAUUAUUGGGCGUAAAGCGCGCGUAGGCGGUUUUUUAAGUCUGAUGUGAAAGCCCACGGCUCAACCGUGGAGGGUCAUUGGAAACUGGAAAACUUGAGUGCAGAAGAGGAAAGUGGAAUUCCAUGUGUAGCGGUGAAAUGCGCAGAGAUAUGGAGGAACACCAGUGGCGAAGGCGACUUUCUGGUCUGUAACUGACGCUGAUGUGCGAAAGCGUGGGGAUCAAACA
rnacentral:rRNA from 3 species